UAGGGAAUCUUCCGCAAUGGACGAAAGUCUGACGGAGCAACGCCGCGUGAGUGAAGAAGGUUUUCGGAUCGUAAAGCUCUGUUGUCAGGGAAGAACAAGUACGGAAGUAACUGUCCGUACCUUGACGGUACCUGACCAGAAAGCCACGGCUAACUACGUGCCAGCAGCCGCGGUAAUACGUAGGUGGCAAGCGUUGUCCGGAAUUAUUGGGCGUAAAGCGCGCGCAGGCGGCUUCUUAAGUCUGAUGUGAAAGCCCACGGCUCAACCGUGGAGGGUCAUUGGAAACUGGGAGGCUUGAGUGCAGAAGAGGAGAGCGGAAUUCCACGUGUAGCGGUGAAAUGCGUAGAGAUGUGGAGGAACACCAGUGGCGAAGGCGGCUCUCUGGUCUGUAACUGACGCUGAGGCGCGAAAGCGUGGGGAGCGAACAGGAUUAGAUACCCUGGUAGUCCACGCCGUAAACGAUGAGUGCUAAGUGUUGGAGGGUUUCCGCCCUUCAGUGCUGCAGCUAACGCAUUAAGCACUCCGCCUGGGGAGUACGGCCGCAAGGCUG
rnacentral:rRNA from 1 species